AUGUUCAUCUGGAGUUUAGAGUAUACAUAUUUUACUACUACACUCAUUCAAUGAUAAGAGAAUUGUGAUUCAGGAUAAUUUUAAAACUUUUCUCAGUUAAACAAAUACUUUGGGUCAGAGCCAAAAGUGAAUCAAAAGUCUCUCACUGCCUUUAUUCUGUUCUGACUCAAAAUACUUUUUUCAUUCAAUCUUCUAUUUAUUCAUGCAUGCAUGUAUGUUUUCAUUCAUUUUAAAAUCUCCCUUUGCACAUGUACAAAUUAAUCAAAUUAAUCAUCUGAAAUAAAUUCUCUAGGAUAUUUUAUAACAUGAAUUAAAUAUAGAUAAUGUAUUUGUUACUUUAAAAUAAAUAUUAAAAUUAGGUAAGAAAAAUUUAAAUUAUGUUUUAAUUAAUAUAUUCAGUUGUUUUAAUAAAUAUGUUCAAUAGUGACUCAAGAAAUAGCAAAAUUCAUUAUGGAUUAUCAAGCCAUAUUCCAGCCAACCUUAAGUUUGUUAUUUAAACACCAAGGUUUUAAAAUAUUUAUGCAUUAAUAUGCUCAGUGUCUUCUGCAGCAGAAAGGAUGUGGAUUUUACAUUUGAUUUUUGAGAAAAUUAAUGAUGUAGCCAAAAAGCGUAGCAGGAUAUAGUGGGCUAUAAAGAAACCAAUUUAAGUAAUUUGUGCAAAUACUUAAAAGUUUUAUGAAUUAAAUUUCAGACAAAUUUCCUAUGAAAAGGCAACUUCCUCACAGAGCAUAGCUCCAGUCAUUUUGAUGUACUGAUGGGCAAUUAAAAAAUUCAAAUUAAGGAAUUAAUGCUCAUAGGUCUAAACCAGCUAAUUUUGUAAUUUACUUUUUUCUUUGAAAACAGUUUCCUUCAAUUAAAUUUGCCAGCACUCAUAAAACUGUCUUUUUCUCUCUGUUAUCACUGAUAAAUUUGGCGCAUCUGUAAUGAUCACAUUCCUUUUCUUUUAAGGAAAUAGUUCACUAGAGAACAAAAGUAUUACAGUCAGGCAGACCUAAGUUUUGAUUUUGGUUUAGCCAUGUACUAGCUAUGAAUAGCAUGUAAGCUUUAAGCCUCAGGUUACAGGUCUGUGAAUAAGAUAUAUUCACAGAUAAGAAUAUACAUAGACUCCACAGUGUUUUUAUGAAGAGAAAGUGAGAUAAUAUGUUAUAAAGUAUUCAUAACGCAAUACAUUUUACCUUACUCUUUCUAGAGAUUUCCCAUUGUUGCUCAGCAGAAAUGAACUGACUAACAUCCAUGAGGAUGCAGGUUUGAUCCCUGGCCUCACUCAGUGGGUUAAGGAUCUGGUGUUGUCAUGAGCUGUGGUGUAGGUCGCAGAUGUGGCUCAGAUCCUACAUUGCUGUGGCUGUGGUGUAGGCUGGCAGCUACAGCUCUGAUUCGACCCCUAGUCUGGGAACUUCCAUAUGCUGUGGGUGCAGCCCUAAAAAGAUAAAAAUAAGUAAGUAAUGAAAUAAAUAUCCUCUCCAGAGGAGAACUAUGCAACAUUUUAGCAGUGCACCUUAGAGUUUAACAUCUAUUUUAGAUACAUAAAAGAUGAUAUAGAGGGCAGCAUGAGCAACGAAUCUAACAUCUCUAAGCCCCAAUUUCCUCAUUCUCACAUUGAAAAAGAUGAUUGAACCAUAUUAGUUCCUGAGUGGAUUAAUUAAUAUUAAGGGCUAGCCUAGUGUAUACAAUAUAGAGUAAGUAUUCAGUUAAUGUUACUUCUCUAAUUAUGACCAGUAUUAUAAACUAUAUUGUGGAAAACGUAUAAAGAAAGAUGCAUUUGAGAGAAAGUAUGUGCUUUGCUUGGUGUUAGAGCUAAUACAUUGGCAAAUGUCUUGAAUACUGUGACAUUCAACUGUGAAAACCAAUUAUUACACAAUUAGAAGCCUCCUCAAUUAGGGAAAGAUUAGGUCAUGUUUUUAAAACACCCACCAGCAUUUUCUGCCAAUCCCAUCUGUGACACACAUUAGAGGGACCCCAGUUAGCAGUUGUUUAAGUUAUUUUCCUAACACUGGCAUCUGUCUCCUUGGAGACAUCCAUCAGAGACUUAUGUUAACAUCUUUCAAAUUGCAUCUGGAUAGGACCAAUUUGUGAUCAACCUAUUGCUACAUUUCAUUGACAGACAACAUAACAUUUGCUUUUCAUUUCUAUCUUUAAGCUUGCUUAUAGUAAAUAAACUCUUCAUGAGGUAUGUGCCCAUUUUUAAUGAUAUAAGCAUAGUGACUGAGCAUGUUGAUUAUCUAGAAAGGAGGUAACUGUGUAUUUGGCAAUUUAUCAUCAGGAAAUAAAUUUAUUUUAAAAUUAAAUUUUAGAUAUAAAUAAAAAUGACCAUGAGUUUCAAAAAAUAAAGCAGAUAAACACUGUGAUGUAAAUUUAAGGUAAGAGAAAAACAGGAUGCUUUUAGAAACUGUAUUAUUUAUCUUUAAGGAGCAGCCUUAUUUUCAUUAUUUAAAUAUACAGCAUGUUAUAGCUACACCGUUUGUUUUACGUUAAAGGAAACUAGAAUUUAAAUUUCAAAGUACUGUAGAUGCUGCUGUUUUCUUUAGGUUCAAGGAAGAUAAAAUGUGGUAGUAGGUGAAAUAAAAUAAAAAUACUUAAUAUUAUUACAGAAUUUUGUAGUUUUCCUCUAAGUUAUUUUGGGUCUCUGAAUGUUUGGUAUUCUUAGCCCUACUGAAAUGAAAAGAGUUGGAUGGUGUUUUGGGCAACUGGUAAAAGACGGAUCAGACCUUCAAAUUCAGAUCUUCUGAUUCUAAGUUCUAUUUGAAGAAAUUCACAACUACCUAACAAAAAAUAAAACUACAAGAUACAGACUAUGAGUUUAGAUUAGAUAAAAGCACCUCUCAGUCUUAAAAUCCUCAGUGAAAAUAACAACAUUGUUUGUCUAAAAUGCUAAAGGCAAGAGAAAAAAUUGGAUGACAUCAAAAGGGUCCAUACUGGCCCAGAUCAAGUAUGAUAGCCCCUUAGCUUUGACUUUGUUUAUCAUAAAUUCAUGGUCAUAAUGUAAUAGUUACUAAAAUUCUUACUUAAUUAAUCAAUAAAAUAGAGAAAAAGCUGGCUGCAAAAACAUAAUAUUCACUAUAAUCAAACUUUUAAAAGAAGACUAAAACAAGUAAUGAAAAAAGGGCAAUGUGUUCACCAAACAUUUUGAUGAAUAGAUAGUCUGAAUUUCUAAAUAUAAUAACCCUAGAUUGGUCUCCUUUAUCUAAGUAUUUUCACAGCACUUGAUAAACAUUAGAGUUUUGCUCAGCAUGGCUGCUUGGUAAAUAUUAAAUAAUAAUAAAAAUAAUCAAAAUACCACUGAGAAGUCAAAAGAAUGCUUCUUUUUACUAGAUAUUUCCCCCAUGUUUACAACUUUAAUAGAAUUUAAAUGGUAUAUGCUAUGCAUGCCAAAUGUUCUAAAAAUUAAGAAAUGUGGUAGAUGUUUUGUCAUCUUAAUCAAAUUUGCAUCCUAUUUUCCUUGGGAAACUUGACAUGCUGUUACACAACUAAUCCUUUCAGUACCUAACCAAAUAAUUAAUACUUUUAUAAGCACAUCAUAAAAUAUAGAUUAGUAAAUAACUCAUUAUGUGCUUUAUUUCAAUACUAAUUGCCUGCAGGCUUAAUAAGCUCUUCAUUGUAAUAAGAAAACUGAUGUUUAUUUUUAUUAGAUAUAACUUCACAACAAAACACACUUUACCAAUCUAUUAUCCAAUUUGGUUUUUAAUAAAAUUCUCAAGGAGAAAAUCUUGCCAUUGACUCAUGUUAGAUGAUAUAAAUAUUGUGUAAUAGAAUAUUAAAUUAGAAAUUUUGAUUGAUGAGCAAGAGAUGUUGAAUUCUGAAAUGGCACAAGCUAUGGAGAAUUGACGAACGAAGUACAAAAGCCCGAGUCUACGUUACGUGGCUAGUGGGUGAGAUUUUGAGAUUUGAGAAGAGGCAGUGCAGGAGAUAUACAUGGAGAACUAAAGGCAGAAGGAAGUUCCACUCCCUCAGUGGAAGGGGUGUGGCCCUCCUGAAGACAGGAAGGGCCUUCAACUGGCAACUUGGAGAACUUGAGUUCUAAACUCUGCUGUUAGUGGGCACAUUGGACUAGUAUCUAUUGCUGGUCUAGAACUCUUUUCCUAUUCACCAACUAGAUCCCUAACCUCAGAAGAAUCAGAAAUCUCUUGAGUCAACAUGGAAGAGAAGGAGCUAUCAAAAAAGAAUGACCAGCCACUACCCCUCCACCUUACCUGCUUCAGGGUCUCUCCUUUUAGCAGGUAUACCUGUGGAACAUGUAAGCAACAGCAAUUUUGGAUGAAUAAGAAGCUUUUGAUAAUUUGGGGGAACUGGCCAUCCCAAUUAUUGAAUUUGUGUUUUACCACUUAGAGUGGGCUUUUUAGUAAGAGCAGAGAGUAGAAACGUCACAGAACAGCCUGUGUUCUAAUCCAGGGCCAGGAAUGUUUUCCUCACCUCAAUAAAUUUGAAAUGAGAAUAGGAAGAAAAAAAAAACAGCUAGUAUUUGACUAAAUUCAAUGUUAAUGGCAUCUGCCUGUUCAACAUAACAAUUACAAUGGUUAUAUUUAAAUAAAAAUAAUUUACUUAUAUUUUCAAAACUUCCUGAAACUGCAGUUCCCACCCAGAUGCAGUGGUUGAAGAAUCUGACUUCAGUGCUUGGGUCACUGCAGAGGUGUGAGUUCAAUCCCUGGCCCAGUGCAGUGUGUUUAAGGAUCCAGCCUUGCUGCAGCUGUGGCAUAAGUCACAGCUGAGGUUCAUAGUCAAUCCCUGGCCUGGGAACUUCCCUGCUGCAUGUGCAGCCAU
rnacentral:lncRNA from 1 species